GAAAGCGGCUGUCGAGAGGAGCGGUCCCGCUCCCGCUCCCCUUGGCGGGGGCUUCGGCGCUGCCACCGCCAUGAGGCUCCGCAGGAAAAGCAAAAGUCCGGCGGUGCUGAGCCACGAGUUCAUCAUCCAGAACCUUGCGGACACCGUGUCCUCCCUGGCGAUGUGCCUCCUGCUGGGGCUGAUGUUCGAGGGCACAGCCAAAUACGUCAUCAUCUUUAUCACUGUGCAGUACAAUGUCACCUAUGCCAUUGAUGAUGAGAAUGAACACGUUCAUUUUUAUGACUAUGGUCCGAAAGACAUUGCCACCAUCCUCUUCUACAUGCUCAUAGCUAUUAUUCUGCAUGCUGUAAUCCAGGAAUACGUAUUAGAUAAAAUUAAUAAACAUCUGCAUUUGUCAGAAACAAAGCACAGCAAAUUCAAUGAAUCGGGACAGCUAGCAUUUUUCUACUUGUUUUCACUUACAUGGGGAGCAAGUAUUUUAACUACAGAAGAUUUCAUGAUGAACCCAACCUCACUGUGGAAUGAUUAUCCCCGUUCUCGUAUGCUUUUUCAGGUAAAAUUCUUCUAUAUUUGCCAGAUAGCCUACUGGCUUCAUGCACUGCCGGAGCUAUACUUCCAAAAGAUCCAAAAGGAAGAUGUUCCAAGACAGCUAUGUUAUAUUUGCCUUUACAUUGCUCAUAUCUCUGGUGCCUACAUAUUGAAUUUGCAGCAUUUGGGGCUAAUUCUGAUGGUACCUCACUAUUUAGUGGAACUCAUUUUUCAUGCCUCACGUCUCUUCUACUUCAGUGAUGAAAACAAGCAAAAAGGAUUUACCAUUUGGGCUUUACUUUUUGUAAUGGCACGUCUUUUGACCCUAACUUUAUCUGUCCUCAUGUUUGGAUUUGGUCUCGCAAGAGUAGAGAAUCCAGAUUUUUCUAUAGCAGACGGAAACUUCAAUGUACUCACUGUGAGGAUUAGCUGCCUGACUGCCAUUUGCCUAACACAGGCCUGGAUGAUGUGGAAAUUUAUAAACUCUCAGCUGAAGAAAUGGAGAGAGCAUAUUCAGAAACAGAUUCCUAAGAAAAAAAUAACUAACACAAAGAGCAAACCGACAAAAAAGGAACCAAACAGAGGCCAGUGCUAACUUUGUCAAUGGAGCAGCAAAAUUAGAAGACAGAGCAUCACCAAGAAUAAGAAAAUCAAAACCAGUAUAAGCUAAUACUAGAGGACAACAUUUGACAGAAGACUGACUUUAAAAAAUUGAUCCUGCAAAACUAUUAUUUGGAUGUUUUUUAUUAUAUGAAUGGACACUGUCAGAUUAUAUUUAAAGUAUUUUUGUUAAUAACUCAUAUUUAUGACAACAGACCAUCUUUAAUCUAUGUUAACCCAACAGCCUUCUUCAAAUUCCACUUAGCUUUGACAAGGAAAACAGAUAAACCGGUUUCAGUUAGUGGUUCUAUGACCAGAAUGUCGUCAGAAAUGAUCACACUUCUAUAUUUGCAUUAGAGGCACUUCACGAUUCUGUCUGAAUCUAUAUAAUUUGUUCUUUCAGUUGUUUCUACAAAACCUAAAUUCUACACUAAAAGAUCGUACUGUGUCUGUUUUUGUUGCUGGGUUUCCCCCCCCUACAAGAUUCUUUUCUAUUUCAUUCAUCUUAACUGGAGUGAGAGGUUCUGAAUUGACCACCUGGCAUGGAAUUGAGUGGAAGUUGUAUAGUGGCGCAAAGGUGCGGAGAAUGCUGUUGCACUUUCCUGCUUGUGUUUAAGUCCAAUAAACAACUGUAAUGAAUCAAAUUAGGCUCUAAAAUGUAGGAAGUUUACAGAACUUGAUUAACUCCAGCUCCCAGGAAGACUUUUCUAUUCAAUCCCUGUGAUGCCUGUGCUAAUUCCAAAGUCUUUCAAGUGCUAGAUAUUCCCUCAACUCCAAUCAAGCAGUUUGCAGUCAGUCUGCUGCAAGCUAUUAGCAUACAGAAAAAUUAUCCAAAUACAGAAUAAAGGAGGCUUAAAAUUCUACAGUCAUCAAGAAGUGCAAGUUCAGCCCCGGAAAGCCUGGUGAUGAUGUGACAAACUAUAGUUCUACUUAACCUGCUUAGUUCAGAGGACUUUAUGAAUUCAAAAGAUCAAAGAAACUUUAUUCUGAAGUUUUGGUUGGAAUUUUGAAUUUUGAGGCAUGAAAGUUGUUUUGUUUCUUUUGUGUUGACAGUUGAUAAUUAUUAGGGGAAGAAAGAAGGAAUGGAAAGCUGCUUUUGUCCUGGGAUAAUAUUGGAAAAUACUAUAGCAUAGGAGUUAUUUUCUAUAGGGAUGUUCUUGCUAUUUCCUUUAGCAUUAAAAAAUAAUAAUAAAAAAAUCUUAUCAAUAGAUGGAACAGGAAAAAAGCUAAGCUCAGGUAAAACUUCAUAUGAAGAGUGCUUUUUGAUCAUGUUCAGUGUUUUUUCUAUCUCUGAGUUAAAAAAAAAAAAAAAGGGCUGAAGAAACAGGAGUUUUCACAUGCACUAAUUAUCUAAAUAGAAAAUGAUCUUGGAAAAAAUCAGGAGACAAUGUUAUGUCUUCUGUUAUGGAGAGCGAUGCCAUUGUAAAAGGGAAAACGUUCUUUCGGAGGAAGAAUAAUAGCUGAUAGAAAAUGAUGACUGACUGCAUUGUGGUCACAGUAAAAAUGAAUGGCAAUGUCCAAAAGAUGAAAUAUGGGUCCUGUUUGCUUAAGUCAGUGCUUCCAUUGGCCUUUGAUUGAUUGAGUGUUGUGAUCAGUUGGAUUUAAUUAGCAUGUUACGUAAACCGAGCUUAAAUUCAAGCAUGUCUCAUGGUGCAUGUCUUUGUCUUUACAUUUAUCUAAAUGUAUUUACAAGUUUAGCUGGAUACUUUAAAAGAAAAAUGCACCAGUAGGUGGAGCAAAUAGAUAAAAAUGUCAAAUUAUACAGUCUUACAGUUGUACUUGUCCUAAAACUGAUGAAAAUAAAUACAAUUUUACUAA